ACUCCUACGGGAGGCAGCAGUAGGGAAUUUUCCGCAAUGGACGAAAGUCUGACGGAGCAAUGCCGCGUGAGUGAUGAAGGUUUUCGAAUCGUAAAGCUCUGUUGUAAGGGAAGAAUAGCAAGGAUAGGAAAUGCUCCUUGUCUGACGGUACCUUACCAGAAAGCCACGGCUAACUACGUGCCAGCAGCCGCGGUAAUACGUAGGUGGCAAGCGUUAUCCGGAAUUAUUGGGCGUAAAGCGCAUGUAGGCGGCUUUUAAGUCUGAUGUGAAAGCCAGUGGCUCAACCACUGAAUUGCAUUGGAUACUGGAAAGCUAGAAUCUUGGAGAGGUAAGUGGAAUUUCAUGUGUAGCGGUGGAAUGCGUAGAUAUAUGAAGGAAUACCGGUGGCGAAGGCGGCCCCCUGGACA
rnacentral:rRNA from 1 species